AGAGUUUGAUCAUGGCUCAGAACGAACGCUGGCGGCGUGGAUAAGACAUGCAAGUCGAACGCUGAUUAUAGAAUAGCAAUAUUUUGUAGUCGGAGUGGCGAAAGGGUGCGUAACACGUGGGUCAUUUGCCGUGAAGUUGGGGAUAACUCGCUGAAAGGCGAGCUAAUACCGAAUGUGGCCUUACAAGGCUAAAGUUGGGGACCGCAAGGCCUGACGCUUCAUGAUAAGCCCGCGGCCUAUCAGCUAGUUGGUGAGGUAACGGCUCACCAAGGCUAAGACGGGUAGCUGGUCUGAGAGGACGACCAGCCUCACUGGAACUGAGACACGGUCCAGACACCUACGGGUGGCAGCAGUCGAGAAUUUUUCUCAAUGGGGGAAACCCUGAAGGAGCGACGCCGCGUGGGGGAUGAAUGGCUUCGGCCCGUAAACCCCUGUCAUUUGCGAUCAAACCUUACGACCUAACACGUCGUAAGCUGAUAGUAGCGGAAUGAGGAAGG
rnacentral:rRNA from 1 species